GACAGAGGUGCCGAGCGUUAGGCGGAAUCACUGGGCUUAAAGCGUGUGUAGGCGGAUGCCUAAGUACCUUGUGAAAUCCCACGGCUCAACCGUGGAACUGCUUGGUAUACUGGGUGUCUUGAGCCACUUAGGGGCAAGCGGAACAAAUGGUGGAGCGGUGAAAUGCGUAGAUAUCAUUUGGAACGCCAAUGGUGAAAACAGGUAGCUGGGGAUGUGCCGACGCUGAGACACGAAAGCCAGGGGAGCGAACGGG
rnacentral:rRNA from 1 species